GAUGAACGCUGGCGGCGUGCCUAAUACAUGCAAGUCGAGCGAACAGAUGAGGAGCUUGCUCCUCUGACGUUAGCGGCGGACGGGUGAGUAACACGUGGAUCACCUACCUAUAAGACUGGGAUAACUACGGGAAACCGGAGCUAAUACCGGAUAAUAUAUUGAACCGCAUGGUUCAAUAGUGAAAGACGGUUUUGCUGUCACUUAUAGAUGGAUCUGCGCCGCAUUAGCUAGUUGGUAAGGUAACGGCUUACCAAGGCAACGAUGCGUAGCCGACCUGAGAGGGUGAUCGGCCACACUGGAACUGAGACACGGUCCAGACUCCUACGGGAGGCAGCAGUAGGGAAUCUUCCGCAAUGGGCGAAAGCCUGACGGAGCAACGCCGCGUGAGUGAUGAAGGUCUUCGGAUCGUAAAACUCUGUUAUUAGGGAAGAACAAAUGUGUAAGUAACUAUGCACGUCUUGACGGUACCUAAUCAGAAAGCCACGGCUAACUACGUG
rnacentral:rRNA from 1 species